rnacentral:lncRNA from 1 species
CGAACAAUGGGUGCCCGGCUCUGAGCUGACAGCCCCGGUUAAGGAUGGGAGGACCUCAGGGGGAUGUGGUUCGUGUGCUUGGGGACAGUCCUUCAGCUCAAACCUUGCCUUCACUCAGAGUGUAAAACGUCUCUCCCUGGAUUCUUAUCUACUGCACCGCAAAUCUUCAGGUCUCUUCGCUUUUUAAAAUUCACGCACAUCCAACAAAGGCCUGAGAGAGCUCCGGUUUGUUCCGCAGCCUGCAAGAGCGUUUCUUGGCGUAGCCCUGGCAUUCUUGAUUCCUGGCCUUUGCCUCCUGACACUGAAGAAAUUUCUUAGCAGACAAAUGUCUCUGAUGGUGUGUGAGAGGUUAAGUCUCUGCUACCUGCGGACUGAGCCAAUUCAAGCCAGAUUAUAUUAUACUAAAGGUUAGCAGAAAAGAUGCCUCGAAAGCCAAGAAAAGCGAGCGUGUACUAUAACCUUGAGAACGUUAACCAGCGUCUUCCUGAGGUUUUUCUGGCACUGCCGUUGUGAACAAGAGCCUAUAAUUAAUGCUUACACAUGAGCCGAGAUGGGAAUCACGGUCUUCAGGUUAAACAGGGACCCAGUAAAUAGCAUCCCUUCUACUUUUCCUGCCAUGGGGACUUUUACCAUUUCAGACAGCUGGACGUGGAAACGCAUGCCUUUAAUCCCCAGCACUCCAGAGGCAGAAGGAUAAAUCUCUAUGGAUCAAAUGCCAUCCAGAGUUAUAUGAUGAGACCCUGUCUCAAACAAACAAAAUCAGCUCUAUGUAUACACAGUGCAUUCUAAUCACUGUUAUACCCAGCUUCUCUAUUUCCCUCCCAGUCUGUGGGACCUCUUAUUGUUUCUGUUUUGUGCCCACUGAGUUAGCCAGGGCUCCCUUUGUGGCCACAGGCUGGUUUGCUGCGUUCACUGGAACAGUCUGAACUGCUUGGGUACAAGGCUGAAGACAAUGCCUGUCCCUCCCCAGAGUGCAUCACAGUGGUUCAGAGUUCAGGUUGGAAGCGUGGCCUCCUGGAUCUCUGACAGCCCUGGCCAACUGCAUAAUUUCAGGUGCAAGCGUGCUAUGAAAGCGCCCAUCUGUGGAUCUUCAUUCUCUUACAAGAAGUCAAACGCAGUUAGGAAAGAGUUUUAAAAUCAGCAGUCGCUGUGAGUGGAAGAUACUAAGGAAGACCUAAUCACCGAAUAAUGUGAACACAGGGUUGGUUGUCCAUGAGACAGCACCUGCUACUUAAUGAAAGCAACACAGUAAGAGCUGCGUUAGCAUCAUCCUGCCUGGUUCCCGGCAACCAGGCAGGCUCAGGAGCAGAUAGCAAUCUGUCAUCUUUCUGCCGGCUUCAGCUAUAGGGGAGAAACAGAAACGUGGUACCACAAUCCACUUCCAGUGGAUGAUGGUGACGUGUUCUAAGGAGAUGGGUGCAGAGGCUCUUGUCAAAUGAGGGAAGAGAAAACGGAAGUGGGGAGAGGAGGCGGGACUCCAGAAACCUCACUGCAACCUUCCUAGAAUAAUAUUGCCAGACAGAAAUGGCAAGCGCAUCCACGUUUAAAACGCAAUUCCCUGCUCAUAUUUAAAGCCUGCCUUAAAGCCCCAUUAAUAUUUGACAAGUCCCAUUAAGACAGGGAUAAAAUAAAAUUAAAGUGGACCCCUAUCAGGUUCUGCUUGCCAUCCUCCACUGGAGUGGUCUAAAAUGACAACGUUAUACAAAUCAAAUCCACCCUUUUUCGCUUUAGGAAUUAAAGCCGCUAAAACCCCCAGGGAGACUGCCUUCCCUAACUAUAGCAGGCAUCGAACUUUCUCUUCCUGGCAGAGGGGCGGCUCCAGCUAUGUCCCUGGCUCCUAAGGUCCUGGUGAGCUCUCUGGAAUGUGCAGGGUCCACGCCCUGCGAGCCCAGCUCUUUGUCGCCUGUAACCAGCAGGCGGCGCUGUCCCCGCGCUGCGGCCACCGCCCGGCUUCCUCCGAGGCCAUUUCCGUCGCAGCGGGUGAGCUCACCGCCGCCACGCCUUGGAAGUCACCCUGGGCGAUUGCUUAAGUUUCUGGACCAUCCUGCCUCUUCUUUUAUGUAACGUCUCUUGAUUUCUUUUUAACGUUUCAUACGUUUACACGGCGAGUAUUGAUCCUAGCCGAGAAUUCUACCUCUGAGCUGUAUCCCCAGCCCCUUUGUGCUCCCGUGGCGAUUACUACUGUUUGAAAAACGUGGGCAGGCCCAAGGGCUCAAUGGAGAAAAGCGCUUGCAGCUCAGGCCCUGCUCAUUGAGAGUAAUUCCUGGAGCACACUUGGAAACCACACCGCAAACAGUGGUACUUUGCCCUGCACACAUGCCCCCACUCAAAUACUUAGGCGUGGAGCAGCGGCUCAGCAGUAAAGAGUGCUUACUGAUCUUGGAGAGGACAAGGUUCGGCUCCAUAGCACCGACGGUCUCACUAUUCACAACUGCCUGUUACUCAGGUUCUAAGAAAUCAGGUGACUUCAAGCCUCUAUGUAGGUGGAGCACAUAAACACACACAGCUACAUAUGGGACAUAUAAAUCCUUUUUUAAAAAAAAACAAACAAAAGUGGAACAUGUAAUGAACAAAGUGCAAAUAUUUCAAAAACAAAACAAAACCAACCUGCAUUUUUUGAGUUGUUAUCAAUUAACUUUUUAAAAGACCUCAACAUUAAUUUUACCAGUUCUAAUAAAAAAAAAAAGGCCUCUGACGCAACGAAGAAGGCAUUAUAUGCUGAAAAUGAGAAUAUCUUUUUAAUCUUGUUUCCCCCUGCCUUCUACAAGCAUGGCAUACACAAAAGCCGGAGAAAAUUCAGCUGUGGCGCCAUCUGCUGGACACUCUGACUUGCUGCAAGAACUUGCAGGUCGAAUCAGUAAGGUGUCGCGGUUGGUCGCGAAAACCUCGCUUUUUGCCCAGGAAAUAGCGCCAAGGCAGUAUUACAUGCUCAUACAAAACCAAAUACAUACAUACAUACAUACAUACAUACAUACAUACAUACAUACAUACAUACAUACAUACAUACAUACCACUAACACUAAAUAAUAAUAACUUAGCCGGGAAGGUGUGGCACAUACCUUUAUUUCUAGUACUCUGGAGUCAGUGGCAGGCGAUCUGUGUGUUCGAGGCCAGCCUGGUCUACAAAGUGAGUUCUAGCAUAGCUAAGGUUACACAGAGAAACCCUGUCUUGAAAAAACCAAAACCAAAACAAACCCCUAUGAAACUGGCCCUUUGAUAGAAAAAAUGCUUUGGGAAUGAUGGUCACAGGUAAGCCCAGGGUCACAUACUCUAUGGCACGAGGCAGAAUUCACUUAAUUAUAUGCCUCCAUGUUGAGCAUUAGCUGAAAACUAAAAGCUUGUUUUUCAGCACUGCACACAACUGAGUAUCCGGGACAGACGAAGUCACCGUUCCCUUGUUCUCUUGAACGGACUGAUUUUGCUGAAGGAAAGAAGUGUAAAAGUGUGGCAAAUUGAGCUGGGAGCUUGAAGGUGGUCUGCGGUAGCCUGGGUGGGGUUUGGAACUCUUUUUUUCUCUCUCUCUCUUUUUUAUUAGGUAUUUUCCUCAUUUACAUUUCCAAUGCUAUCCCAAAAGUCCCCCAUACCAACCCCCCCAAUCCCCCACCCACCCACUCCCCCUUUUUGGCCCUGGUGUUCCCCUGUACUGGGGCAUAUACAGUUUGCAUGUCCAAUGGGCCUCUCUUUCCAGUGAUGGCUGACUAGGCCAUCUUUUGAUACAUAUGCAGCUAGAGUCAAGAGCUCCGGGGUACUGGUUAGGAACUCUUCAUUAAGCCCUGCCUCCAGUUUUUCAAACUCUUGGGUAAGAUCUGAUUUACUUGAAGAUUUUUCUAUUUAGGAGAGGCAGGCCCUUUCCACACAAGGGUCUAAGCCCAUUUGCAAACACAUUUAUUCAGAGGCUUUCGCGUAAACAUUGCUUAGUUGAAAUACUUCACUCAGCAUCCUUGCAAUUUUGUUGCAACACAUUCAGAAGCCACUUGGGGAAACCCGGGGAAAGCAGAAAUGUAGAUCAGAUUAAAACUGGCCCACCCACCUGGGAAAUCGGGGUUCCGCUGCAGAAGCCUUGGUAAUGGAAACAUAUUAACAACACAGAGCUCUGACCACCGGCGCUUCAGGGUCACCUUGAACAAGACUAAGUUUUUAUAUUCUGGGAUGAGCUUUUAAUGGUUUUCCUGAGAUGAAAUAACUUCAACCUUGUGGCCUGCAGGAGCCCAGCUGAUUACAAAAUCCCGGGUUCCUGUCAGGUAACGUCCAUAUUCAGUCAGUGUGUUCUAAGAGCUUCCUCUGCUUCUUCAAUAACUAGGCCCUGCAGGGUGAGACUGUCGGAUCCACUGCUAGCAGCAUUAGCCCUCUCAAGGGACACGUGGAGAAGAUUCAGCAGCCACCAAGAACACAGAGUGGGAAAUAAAUGUCCCCUCUAGCAAGGGCUGAAUGGCUUGUCAGCAGAUGAGAGAGGGGUUUUGUCAGUUUGCUUGGCUUUUAAAACAAUCUUUCUGUGUAGCUCAGGCUAGCCCCAAACUUGGGGUAACAUUGCUUCAUUUUCCUUAGCACUAGGGUAACAUCUAACCAUAAAUUAUGCACCGAUGCUCUUCUUUUUUUUUUCUUUUAGAUUUACUUAUUAUUAUAUGUAAGUACAUUGUAGCUGUCUUCAGACACCCCAGAAGAGGGCAUCAGAUCUCAUUAUGGGGGAUUGUGAGCCACCAUGUGGUUGCUGGGAUUUGAACUCAGGACCUUUGGAAGAGCAGUCAGUGCUUUUAACCGCUGAGUCAUCUCUCCAGCCCAUGGAUGCUCUUCUAUAUCGAGUUUCCACUCUGCUUAUCAUAUAGGGAACAAUAAAUGCAUAGCAGCCAUGAAAAUGACUGGUUUUGUGUCCUUGGAGGAAAAGGAGGGAGCAGGUAGAGAGGCAGCUAGGAAAACUGCAAGGGGAAAAGGUUAUCCUGAGAGUCAGCGACCCUCAGAAAACAGGCGCCGUCUCAGCUGAUAGCAAGAAGCUAUAAAAGGAACAGGAACCCUUAGGGGCAUUCCACUGCAGGCUGCCUGAGUGCUUUCUACAUAUGGGAAUAGAUACAAUUAUUAAAUAUUGCUAUAGUGUUCCCAACUCAAGGGCAUGGUACACUUUCUGGAAUAAUAAUGUAAAUAAAAAAUAAUAAAAAUAAUUUU